rnacentral:piRNA from 1 species
UGUUCCUCAUUUUGUGUAAAC